UAAUACUAGGGGGGCAAGCGUUGUCCGGAUUCAUUGGGCGUAAAGAGUUCGUAGGCGGUCUGAACAGUCAAAAUUGAAAUACCACGGCUUAACCGUGGAACCGGUUUUGAUACUUUCAGACUUGAGUUAGGUAGGGGUAAGCGGAAUUCCUGGUGUAGCGGUGAAAUGCGUAGAUAUCAGGAGGAACACCAAAGGCGAAGGCAGCUUACUGGGCCUUAACUGACGCUAAGGAACGAAAGCGUGGGGAGCAAACAGGAUUAGAGACCCUGGUAGUCCACGCCGUAAACGAUGAGCACUUGAUGGUGGGGGAUUUCGACCCCUUCACUGUCGUAGCUAACGCGUUAAGUGCUCCGCCUGGGGACUACGACCGCAAGGUUG
rnacentral:rRNA from 1 species